rnacentral:rRNA from 1 species
AUGAGCAGUAUCGUGGCCAAGAUCAAGUCUACACCGCCUCAAACGGUGCAGGAUCAGGCCACGAGGAGAACUCUUCAUAGGGGUGUGUGUGUGCAAGGGCUAUAUGCGUUGCUUCCCCAGUACUGCUUGUCCAAUAAACAAGUGCUUGGUGCCUUCAAACUUUCGGCUGAACGGUGGCAUAAUCGUUUAGGUCAUCCAUCAUUUGCUACAGUUUAUCAAAUUCUUAGUAGAAAUAAACUCUCAGUUGUUGGUGAGAGAAACUCAGAAACUAUUUAUGAUUCAUGUCAGAAAGCAAAAAGUCAUCAGUUGCCAUAUCCUGUUUCCACCAGUGUGUCAACCAAACCGUUGCAACUUAUCUUUUCUGAUGUUUGGGGUCCAGCACCCACCUCUGUUGGUAGACAUACUUACUAUGUGAGCUUUGUUGAUGAUUAUAGCAAGUAUACAUGGGUCUAUCUCCUUAAAAAACGUUCUGAUGUGUUCCAAGUUUUUCACAACUUUCAAGCUCUUGUUGAACGUAAAUUCGAUAGCAAAAUUCUUGCCAUGCAAUCGGACUGGGGU